GGGCCGAGUAAAGUGAGCUCAAGCCCGGCUAACGCUCUGAGCAUCAAUCAGCCUGGUCCAUUUCCUGCCUCAUUGGUGAGGUCCUCGCGUCCGCUACGGCGGACCGACCCCGCCAGGCUUCGAUUCGCAGCAGCGGGAAGGGGAGGGAGCCAGACCAGCUUUGGAAAUGAAAUCCCUUUUCUUCCAGGCAGUCUGGUCUGUCUUUGGGGAAGCUGCAGAAAUGGAAAUACCGAAAUUCAUGUACCUUAGACACAAAGUCGUAGAGUUGAAUUUCCAAAUAUUGUCCGCUAUUUCUUGCCCCAAAUUCGUAUUUCACUGUUUUUGCUUAAAACAUUUCUUGACUUCAUCGCUCAUAUCGUUAAUUCUAGUAAAUUCUUUUGCAUCUUGAGUCUUCACUUACGGGUGCGCCUAAACAUAGAGCCCAGGCUCCUUAAUGUAUUAUUGUGCUAUAUGCUCUUUUAAUCUAAUCCCCCACUCACCAUUCUGCCUCUUUUCAUUAUGUAGAAAGAAUUACUUACAUAUCAAAAGAUUUUUCAAGCCCAACAGCCCGAAUACUUUUCUGUGCUUCUAAGAUGCUGUUUACAUUCAUCAAACUAGUGAACAGUUUCUUCCAUAGUUAUUUGUGCCCUAUGGGACCACUCAGCCACCCCGUGCGCCGGUGGAGGCUAGAAUGGUGGGAGUCUUGUCCAGGGCUUUACAAGGCUUCUAUCCCAGUGGAUUUGGUUUGAUUGACAGUGCUGAGAUUCUAGGUAUUAUGAUUCCCUUUUGGAUCGUGAGGUAUUUUGUACUUUCCUUUAAUCUGUGAUUGUGUAUAGGGAUAAUGUCAGUCUUUAGUGAAAUCCUAUACUACUUGUUUUUCAAUGAAGCUCUCAUUUUUUAAAGGUUCAUUUUGUCAGACAUUUAGGAUCUUCAUUACUGUGUUAGGCAUAUUUAAUUUUGUAACUAUUUUUUAAGUUAUUUAUGUGUGCCAAAUAGUCAAAUGUAAAUUGAAUAAAAUAAAGAUACUGAGUAAACCACACCCCAGGAUCAUAAUGUAGUAGUGUGUGAUGUGGACUUGGGGUGGAAUCUUGGAUUUGUUGUAAACCAGCCUAUAUCUUUGAACAACACCUCCCUGAGAUUUCAUUAUUUGGAAAAUGGGUUGAUGGGGGAUGGGGAUUAAAUGAGCCAGUGUGUGAAAUAUGUAAUAGUGUAGAUCGAGGCCAGUGCACAGCCAUUAUUUGUGCCCCUGCCUCAUCCUCAUUCAAGUAUUACCCCACAUAGACUGUUGGUAAAGCCCUGUGCAUGCUUGUAUC